AGCUGCCUUCCCCAGCCCCCCACACUCUGCCUUCCCCAGCCCCCCUGGACGGGGAGCUGGGCACACAGCGGGUGCCAGGCAGAUGUGGCUGGGCCCAGGAGGCAGUGGGCUGGACCUCCCUGGGUUCUUAUCUCUGGCUGUGUGAGGGAGCCUGGGGCCUCCCAGGCCCCGGACAAAGGCUCCUGGGUGGGGUGGGAACGCUGAGGGUUUCACUGGGCUCCUUACCAAGCUGGUGAGAGGCAGACACUUUACUGUCUGAGCCACGAGGGAAGCCCUGUGAUGGGGAAGCAGAUGGCAAACCACACUGGUAACUCCGAGGCCCACCUUUCCUAGUGAGGAAAGCAAGACUCAGAGAGGUCCCCACCGCACUGAGAGCCAGAGCUGGGAUUGGAAUCCACUUCUUGAUCUCAGAGAUGACCUCAUAACCCCGGCCCGUAUCAGCCAGGCACAACCAGACUCAGGGGUGUGGGUGUUGCCCACACUGGACUUGGCUGUGAACCAGAAUUCCCUUGACCUCAUUAGGAAAUGUUGAUGGAAACUGCACAGAAGUUCCCCUGUGGGCACAGGAAAGAGGAAGCUCAUCACGGGACAGACACAUGACCGGAUGGGGAAACUCACCCAGAGAGGUGAAAGCAACUUCCCACGGCCUUGUUGACCCGAACCCCACUGAACAUGAGGCUCAUGCAGAUCUGCAUUCCAGGAGGUUGUUUGGGGAGGGGCGCCGGGAAGGGAAGUGGUUAGAGAAUGGGGUGUCUUCUGCUUCCCAGGGUUGUCCUCGGGCCCUCCCAGGCCCCCGGUCAAAAAAGUUUGUCCAUCAGUCACAAGGAAGAUGUAGGUGUAGCAGUGAUUCUGGGGGAGAGGGAUAGAGUCCAGGCUCCUGCGAUAAUGGAGAGAGUGCCUGGUGGGGGCAGAGGGCACAGAAGAUGCUGAGAACCUGACAUACGUGAGACACACAUGUACACACACCACACAUGCCGCAUCCACAUCCCUUCACAUGCACACUGUGUAUAACACACAACCCACACACUCCAUACUGAACACACAUACCACAAGCACCACACCAUACCUAACACACACGUACCAGAAACAACACACCAUACCCAACACACACAUACCGGAAACAACACACCAUACCCAACACACACACACCAGAAACAACACACCAUACCCAACACACAUGUACCACAAGCAACACACCAUACCCAACACACACGUACCAGAAACAACACACCAUACCCAACACACACAUACCACAAGCAACACACCAUACCCAACACACACGUACCCCCCGACACACAAACAGCCCAUACGUAAUACCUAACACUCGUUGCGUGGACCCCCUCACCCAGUCCCCACAAUCACCCUAUGAAGUAGGUGCUGUCAAUGCCCCCAUUUUAAUGAUUGGGAAACUGAGGCUCAAGGAUUUGGAGCUUGGAACAGAUGGAAGUGUCAUGGAACACAGGUCAGCCUGUCUCCAGAAGCCACACUGAAUGUUCCCACCGAUGCACAAACAACAAAAUCAAGAACCAAGACACCACCUUCCUGCAGACAGAGCCCCUCCCGGCUGACUUAGGUGCCAUCUGGGGCCACGAGGUCCCCCUCUGGGACAUGGAGGCAUUUUGGAGGGGAGGGUGAGGCCAGGACUGGAGCCCAGCAGGAGGAGGAGAGAGAGCUGGCCCCCUCCACCUGAGGGACACGGACCACUCCACCUCCUCAUGGGAGGACGGGAGGACGCAGGGAGGAACCUGACCCAGACCACCCAGGCUGCGUCCUGUCACCGCGGCUUCCACAUCUCAGAGCCCCCAGGCAGCGGGGUAAGGGGCUUCCUUCCCCUGCCUCCAUGAGGACUGGGGCCCUGGACCCUGUUUUCCCCGAGGCCACUUUCCCCACCCAGCCCUGGUCCUGGCACGGCCCCCCAGCCAGUCCCCGUGGAAGGGGAGGGGGAUCCUGCCUCCCCCAGGCUCCCUGGUCCGCCCCGUGCACCCUCAGGACAGCACCCCUCCGAUGCCAGCAAUGCUGCCUGCUGGGGAAGGCCAGCCUGUCCUCUGCAGCCCUGAGAGGGCAAGACGGGACACAGCCUCUGUGCCCAUCCCUCGGGGAGUGGACCUCCGCCUGCAGGAGCAUGCGCACAAGAGAACACGCUGCAGCCACGAGACAGAGCCGGGCCGCCCCUCAUAGAAACCUGGAAGUGACGUGACCUGGACACGCUCAGGCCUGUCCAACCAUUUGCGACCCCAGGGACUGUAGCCCGCCAGGCUCCUCUGUCCAUGGGAUUCUCCAGGCAAGAAUACCAGAGUGAGUUGCCAUUUCCCUUCUCCAGGGGAUCUUCCCAACCCAGGGAUCGAACUUGAGUCUCCUGCUUGGCAGGCGGAUUCUUUACCAUCUGAGCCACCAAGGAAGCCCAUAGACCUGGAAAGGAGAUAGUCAUGUGUAAAGGAAAAUAAAGCGAUAAAAAGGA